AUGUGGUCCAUUUAUCCAAAACAAGCAUCUGUCUAAUGUGUAUUACUAUUUAAAUAAUAUAUAUGUGUAUAUAAAUGUGUGUGUGGGUGUGAAGAUGCUCGAUUACGAUUACAAGUAGAGACACUUGUCCUCUCUUUUUUUUGCCUUUUAAUGUUUUGCUCUCUCCUCCUCCUCAAAACCCAACUUCUGAUAACUAAAAUUUUCACAGGAUAGCAAUUCAUAUUCUCUGUAUCUUCCCUAAUUAAGUUUCGAUUAUCUAGCUAGGGUUGAUGUGAGAUUUGUAUAUCUAGAUGGAUCUAUUUAUAUGUUGGUUUUGAGAGGCUGAAGCUGCCAGCAUGAUCUGUGUAUAGAGAUAGUGGUACCAGAUCAUCCUGCGGCCUCAUUCACUCAAAUCACCAACAAUGAACUUAAGCUUCAUGAGAAAACGAUUCCAGUUGACUUUUACGACUUCCCUCUGUUAUCAUUGGAGGUAACAAUACAUUUGCUUAUCUAUUUCUACUUCCUUGUAAAUCCAGCAAUUCAUUCUUUUUUUUUUCUGACGAACGUUUUCAAUCAUUCAUGCUUAUUGUAUUACAUCUUGAUUCUGGAAAUUAUACGGAUAUAUGUAUCUAAUUUUAUAUGAUAUAUAUAAGUAUAUAUAUAUACGCACAUAGUCAUAUACGAUUUAGGUACUGUUUAUAUAUAUGAUCAUGUCCACGAGCUCAUGUUUGUUUGGUAGGAACGCGUUAACAUGUGACUAUGUGUUUCCUUUGCCAAGACUUAUGUCAAGCUCUAUAAUUUUAUAUUCAUAUAAUAAAUCUAGUAAUAAUAAAGAAGAAGGUGUAUUAGUUUGGUGACAAGACUCAUCUUAUUAAUAAUUUAUAUGAUUCCGGACUCAGAAAAAUACGAAUGGCAAAUUUUUUAUUUUUUAAGAAGUAAAAAACAAAAAGUUGUUUUGAUUCUACUUAACAAUGUUUAAAACACUGGCAAUUAAGUGUGUAUUGUUCAUUCAAUAUACGUAUGAUGCUUCUCACUCUUAUCAUAUCUAAUUAUUCAACACGUUACUACAAUAAUUCAAACAAUAGGAAAGUUUGCUACAAUAUUUUGAUUUAAGCAUUGUGUUUGCUAUGCAAUGAGAACUAAUAGAGCAAACUUGCUUGGACGUAUUAAUCUGGAGCUUAUUUUGAAAUAGAGUUUUGGGUCUUAUAGUCCCCUACAUCUAAUAAGAUAGAAAUGAUCAUUAUACUUGGUUCCAGAAACACCUAAGAACAAUCUUGCACACUAUUACUAUUUUCUUUAUUCUUUCUUCUUUGGCACUUGGUUGAUCUUUGUAUAUUGGACCAACGGAAAUCAAGUCUACAAUAUCAUGUACCAUUGACUUCGGAUCAAGCCUUCUAUCAUAUAGGUUGUCACAUACGUAACCGAUGGUUGGUAUAGGUUCUCUGCGUUGAUCAGCACGAGAACAGCUCGCCAACUCCAGCUUUUGUUUCCAAGAUCUUUCAUUUGGAGCUGGAGAACACAUGAUUGAUGGAUUGUAUUAAGAUCAUGCAUAUUAUUUUUCCUUAAUUAUAGAUGCAUCCUUUAUAUCUUUUGUUCAUUCGUAAGGAAUAGUGGUCUGUAGAGACAAUAAGUACUACGCCCUUCCGCUUCCUUUAUAGUAUGUUUUAUAACUUUUUCUAAAUUAUCUAUGCAAACUGAACUCAUUUUUAA